rnacentral:rRNA from 1 species
CAGCACGGGGGCUUGCACCCUGGUGGCCGAGUGCGACCGGGUGAGUUAUCCAUCGGAACGUGCCCCAGAAGUGGGGGAUAGCCCGGCGAAAGCCGGAUUAAUUCCCGCAUCGAUUCUCCGGAUGAAGGCGGGGGACCUUCGGGCCUCGCCGCUAUAGGGUUGACCGAUGGCUGAUUUAGCUAGUUGGUGGGGUAAAGACAUAACCAAGGCGCCGAUCCAGUAGCUGGUCUGAGAGGCCGACCAAACCACACUGAGACUGAGCUCGGCCCAGACUCCUACGGGAGGCAGCAGUGGGGAAUUUUGGACAAUGGGCGAAAGCCUGAUCCAGCAAUGCCGCGUGUGUGAAGAAGGCCUUCGGGUUGUAAAGCACUUUUGUUCGGAAGCAAAUCCUUGGUUCUAAUAUAGCCGGGGGAUGCGGU